CCUACGGGAGGCUGCAGUGAGGAAUAUUGGUCAAUGGACGAGCGUCUGAACCAGCCAAGUAGCGUGAAGGAUGACUGCCCUAUGGGUUGUAAACUUCUUUUAUAUGGGAAUAAAAUGUUCCACGUGUGGGAUUUUGUAUGUACCCUAUGAAUAAGGAUCGGCUAACUCCGUUCCAGCCGCCGCGGUAAUACGGAGGAUCCGAGCGUUCUCCGGAUUUAUUGGGUUUAAAGGGAGCGUAGGUGGAUUGGUAAGUCAGUUGUGAAAGUUUGCGGCUCAACCGUAAAAUUGCAGUUGAAACUGGCAGUCUUGAGUACAGUAGAGGUGGGCGGAAUUCGUGGUGUAGCGGUGAAAUGCUUAGAUAUCACGAAGAACUCCGAUUGCGAAGGCAGCUCACUGGACUGCAACUGACACUGAGGCUCGAAAGUGUGGGUAUCAAACAGGAUUAGAUACCCUGGUAGUC
rnacentral:rRNA from 1 species